rnacentral:rRNA from 1 species
CGCCUCCUGCAACAUAACCAAGUAUAAGAGGUCCAGCCUGCCCAGUGACCACAAGUUUAACGGCCGCGGUAUUUUGACCGUGCAAAGGUAGCGCAAUCACUUGUCUUUUAAAUAAAGACCUGUAUGAAUGGCUAAACGAGGGCUUAACUGUCUCCCAUUUCAAGUCAGUGAAAUUGAUCUGCCCGUGCAGAAGCGGACAUAACCAUACAAGACGAGAAGACCCUAUGGAGCUUAAGGCAUAAAACUCAACCACGUCAAGCAACUCUAUAAAAAGUUAUUAAACCUUGUGGCUACUGAAACCAUGCCUUCGGUUGGGGCGACCAUGGAGGAAAAAGAAGCCUCCAAGUGGAAUGGGGCCAACCCCUAAAACUAAGAAAGACAUUUCUAAGCCACAGAACAUCUGACCAAUAAUGAUCCGGCCCACCACGGCCGAUCAACGAACCAAGUUACCCAAGGGAUAACAGCGCAAUCCUCUCCCAGAGUCCAUAUCGACGAGGGGGUUUACGACCUCGAUGUUGGAUCAGGACAUCCUAAUGGUGCAGCCGCUAUUAAGGGUUCGUUUGUUCAACGAUUAAAGUCCUACGUGAUCUGAGUU